rnacentral:lncRNA from 1 species
GUAAAAUAAGGAUGGACUGUUCAUGCAGUCAGAUGAGUGCAUUCUGGUCAAUGGGUUGGAAGUAGAAGUCAGGUAUGCAACUUUUAGGGAAUGUCCUGAAAGGGUGGUCCCCUGUCCUUCUCCUUCCUUUUUCUUAUUCUUGUAAGUUAGACUGAGAAUGUGAAGCUUGAAGCUGAAGCAGCUGUCCUGAACCAUGAAACGAAGGAUGCCUGUUGAGGAUGGAAGCUGCUGGAGUAAACCAGUCAAGAGGAAGACAUAGGAUCCUAUAAAGAGGGAGUCGAGUAUGGGAGAGAGAUGAAGCAAUGUCUCCAAUGAGGCUGAAGGGAAGUUCAGGACAACAGCCCUGCAGCAAGCUUGGAAAGCAGAUUGCCCAGAUUGGAGCAGAAGAGCAGAGAACACCAGGAGGGAUGACUUCAGAGAAAAAGGGAGCUGAUAGAAUACCUCAUGGUCUUGAUGGUCCUGAGGUUUUACAGGACUGGAGGAUAGUUUGGGAAUGAGUUUGUGAUUGUCACAGUUAAGUAAACAAACAAACAAACAAAUUAACAAAAAAUCAAUUAUAAACGAAAGAGAACACAAUAAUUAGAUGAGAAAUAAAAUAUAAUUAAGCGUUCUGCAUGAUUAGCAGUGAUGCAAUCUUAAUAUGAUAAACACAUUAUUGAUUUAAUCAAAAUUUGAGAAAUAGUUGAAACAACUAUAUUGAGUGGGAGAAGGUGUGUGUAUGUGGGGGGUAUGCGUGCAUGUUAUGUAUCUGUGUGCAUGUGUUUCUAGGGGAGAAGCACUGUAAGAGAUUUAACCCUUCAUCUUCUACAAUAAAAACAAUGAUGUCAAAAUAUUUAAAAAUCAAGAAAAAGCAAUAUGGAAGUGAACGCUGAAAAAAUAGCUAUGAAGAUGUUUGCCCCUGACGAAUAGGAAUUAGGGAUGGGAUGGGUAGGGCCAGGAGAAAGAAGUUUUGUCCUUACUGUGUGAAUCUUAGAACUGUUUUGAUAAAAUUAAAAAUUUCACUGUGAUAAAAAUAAUAACUUAA